GAAGCAAAAACCAGCGGAUUUGG
rnacentral:siRNA from 1 species